GGAAAAUGAUUUGGUCGUUCCUUCUUUCCCUUCGGCUGCUUCAGUCCCUGAGCUGCAUGCAGUUGACACAUCCGAGAAUAUAAAGGAACCUGGUUCCUCUUCCCAACCAUUGCCCACACCAGUCACUACUGAUCGGCUUGCAACUAAUAUGUCUGAACCCUCACUUACCACCAGAGAUGCAUUGGAUAAAUUCCAAGUUAUUUCACAAAAG
rnacentral:misc_RNA from 1 species